ensembl:lncRNA
UUUUUUUAGGAUUAGCUAAAGAGUUCCAUCCUGGAAGAUGCUAAAAUGCAGUGAAAAAACAAAUGAUCAUACAUGACCAUCCUCACAUUCAUGACAUGUUUUUCUUCAUAAAUUUACUUGAUUUGUAGACAAUCAUCCCAAGAGACAUGACUCAUUGAAUAUCAUUUAUAUUCAUCAGUAAUUCAUAAUUUAUGAAAUCAUGGUUAUCAAUCAAGUUUUUUAUUAUCUUAUAGAAGGUUAGAAGGUAGUUAGUUGUAUAAAAGACAAGUAUCGAUACAUAUAAAAUAAUAGUUAGAAUUUCCUUAGCACUUCAAUAUUUAUAAAGCACUAAAUGUGUACUUCCAUUUAAUUUGCAAAAUAUAUUAUACAUAAUUACAUCAUAUUAUGUUCUAUUAUUAUUACUACAUCAUAGUGAAAGAAAAUAAGAAUUAGCAAUCUUAAGUAACUUUCCUAAAAUCACAUAAUUAAUGUGUCCAAAGCAAAUUUAAACUCUAGUCCUCUCCCAAAAGUCUAUCUACUAUGCAACAAAUACCUGUGGGACUAAAACCAGAGGUACUGAAUAUGCACAUUAUAAAAUUAUCCCUGACACAGAAGUAACAAUCUGAUGCAUAUAAGGGUUUCAUUGUAGAAUCAAUCAGAAAGAAACAUGUCUGUCACCUAUAGGAUGCCAUUCACAAUAUUUCAGAUUGAAUUCAUAAAGUAUUAUAAUGUGGGAAGAUGACAUCAAUGGCUGGAUCAAGAAUUAGAUACAAUAAAGCCCUCUGUGAUUCAUAUCAUGGGUACAUAAUCCCAAUUUCUUAUGCACACUAUUACUCCUCACUGACUGUUUUAUAGCUACCAAAAGAGGCAAGUACUAAGCCUCUAAUUUAACAUGAGAAACUUCAAUCUCAAAUAUAAGGAACAAAACGCUAAGGGUUAGGAUUUAAUAAAAUAAAAGUACAUAGUUUAGUUGAAUAGUGAAACAAUAAUACUAUUAAAUAUUUGCUAUGUUCUAAGAAUUAUACUAAUUACUAGGAGUCAGAUAGCAAUAACAACAACACUAACAAGCUGCAGUCCUUGCUCUCAAAUCCACCUCCCAACUGAGAAAAUGACUCACAUUAAUUUUUAAUGUAAUUUUUACAUUUGCAAUAAUUUAAUUUAAUAGUAAUUUUUAUACUUUUAGGCUUAAUAUAUUUUUAACAUAUUAUCAGUACAUCAAAAUGUCCAUGAACAGGUGUCUAGUUAUUUUUAGCAUUAGCUAAACAGUUACAUCCUGGAAGAUGCUACAGUGCUGUGACAAAACAAAUGAUCAUACAUGACCAUCCUCAAAUUCAUGACAUGUUUUUUCUUCAUAAAUUUACUUGAUUUGUUGACAAUCAUCCCAAGAGUCAAGACUCAUUGAAUAUCAUUUAUAUUCAUCAAUAAUUCAUAAUUUGUGAAAUCAUGGUUAUCAAUCAAGUACUUUCCUAUCUUAUAAAAGGUUAGAAGGUUGUAAGUUGUAUAAAAGACAAGUAUCGAUACAUAUAAAAUAAUAGUUAGAAUUUAUUUAGCACUUUCAUAUUUACAAAGCACUAAAUAUGUACUUCCAUUUAAUUUUCAAAAUAAUUAUAUCAUAUUAUAUAUAAUUAUAUCAUAUUAUGUUCUAUUAUUAUCACUACACAAUCGUGAGAGAAAAUAAGACUUAGCAAUCUUAAAUAACUUUCCUAAAAUCACAUGAGUAAUGUGAUUUAAUUUAAAAUUUAAACUCUAGUCCUCUCCCAAAAUCUAUCUACUAUGCAACACAUACCUCUGGGACUUUAACCCAAGCUACUGAAUAUGCACAUUAUAAAAUUAUCCCUGACACAGAAGUCACAAUCUGAUGCAUAUAAGGAUUUCAUUGUAGAAUC